rnacentral:RNase_P_RNA from 1 species
CGAGUCGGUCGGGUGAUCGCGGCACGCCUUAAAAAGCGGGUCGAGGAAAGUCCGGACUUCACAGAGCAGGGUGGUGGGUAACGCCCACCCGGAGUGAUCCGCGGGACAGUGCCACAGAAAACAAACCGCCAAGGGAAACCUUGGUAAGGGUGAAAC